UAUAGAAUCCUUCUGCUCGUUUUACGCGAAAAGUCUUUGCCCAACAGCAACAUGUAUCUCACCAUUGCUUCAUGUAUGCUGAUGAACAAAGGCUUGCCGCUACCGGGCGCUAUCACCAGUCUAACUC
rnacentral:precursor_RNA from 10 species